rnacentral:rRNA from 1 species
GACGAACCGUGCGACCGUUGUUCGGAAUCACUGGGCUUAAAGGGCGCGUAGGCGGGCUGUCAAGUCUGGGGUGAAAUGCUGCGGCUCAACCGUAGAACUGCCUUAGAUACUGACGGCCUCGAGGAAGGUAGGGGCAUGCGGAACUGUAGGUGGAGCGGUGAAAUGCGUAGAUAUCGGAAGGAACACCGGUGGCGAAAGCGGCGCGCUGGACCUCUUCUGACGCUGAGGCGCGAAAGCCAGGGGAGCGAACGGG